rnacentral:misc_RNA from 1 species
UUUCCGUAGGUGAACCUGCGGAAGGAUCAUUACAGAAUUGUCAAACGGGUUGUUGCUGUUCUUCAAACAGGUUCAUGUGCAAGCACUGUUUACACAUCCCCUCACACCUGUGCACCCUCCGUAGUUCUAUGGUCUGGGGGACCCUGUCUUCCUGGCUUGGUUAUACGUCUUUACACACACACUGUAAUAAAGUCUUAUGGAUUGAAUGACGCGUCUAACGCAAUUCACUACAACUUUCAGCAACGGAUCUCUUGGCUCUG